rnacentral:rRNA from 1 species
UAGGGAAUCUUCGGCAAUGGACGAAAGUCUGACCGAGCAACGCCGCGGGAGUGAAGAAGGUUUUCGGAUCGUAAAACUCUGUUGUUAGAGAAGAACAAGGACGUUAGUAACUGAACGUCCCCUGACGGUAUCUAACCAGAAAGCCACGGCUAACUACGUGCCAGCAGCCGCGGUAAUACGUAGGUGGCAAGCGUUGUCCGGAUUUAUUGGGCGUAAAGCGAGCGCAGGCGGUUUCUUAAGUCUGAUGUGAAAGCCCCCGGCUCAACCGGGGAGGGUCAUUGGAAACUGGGAGACUUGAGUGCAGAAGAGGAGAGUGGAAUUCCAUGUGUAGCGGUAAAAUGCGUAGAUAUAUGGAGGAACACCAGUGGCGAAGGCGGCUCUCUGGUCUGUAACUGACGCUGAGGCUCGAAAGCGUGGGGAGCAAACAGG